rnacentral:rRNA from 1 species
UACGGGAGGCAGCAGUGGGGAAUAUUGGACAAUGGGCGAAAGCCUGAUCCAGCAAUGCCGCGUGAGUGAUGAAGGCCUUAGGGUUGUAAAGCUCUUUUACCCGGGAUGAUAAUGACAGUACCGGGAGAAUAAGCUCCGGCUAACUUC